GGGCAAAAAAGUCAAAGAAGCGUGUAAGACUACCGGAAGCCUCAGUGAUGAGCACUACAGAUAUCAAAUCGAGUACCUUCACAGCUGCAUUGAUCCGGAAGAGCUCAGUUUGCAUGGUGGGGACUUCUUCAAGCUGAACAUGUCACUACUCGUGUCGAUGGCGGCGGCGAUAAUUACCUACACCGUCAUACUUGUGCAGACGAGCCAGAGUGUGAGAGAAAUUCUUCAGCAGAACACAACCUGUCCGGUAAACAACACGGCAAUGGAUUGAUGGAUGUCUCUACAAACCUGUUGCCACGCAAAUGAAGUGAAGACAAAAUAGAUGAACGCAUUGCGUGUAUAAAAGAAAAUAAGGAGAA